rnacentral:rRNA from 1 species
UACGUAGGGGGCUAGCGUUGCUCGGAAUCACUGGGCGUAAAGCGCACGUAGGCGGACUCUUAAGUCGGGGGUGAAAUCCUGGAGCUCAACUCCAGAACUGCCUUCGAUACUGGGAGCCUUCGAGUUCGGGAGAGGUGAGUGGAACUGCGAGUGUAGAGGUGAAAUUCGUAGAUAUUCGCAAGAACACCAGUGGCGAAGGCGGCUCACUGGCCCGAUACUGACGCUGAGGCACGAAAGCGUGGGGAGCAAACAGG